UUAAUUUCAGGAGUCAGUUUUUGUACAUUUAUGUGAUUUGAACUUAUGCUACUUAAAAAUUAAGCUAUAGUUUCUCUUCGCUAUUGUGUUCGCCAUAGUGUAGGGUAAUUAAAAGUGCAACUUAUUAGCUUUGUUUAACAUAAACUGCACAUAUGUAGCUACUUCUACAUUUCCUCAUGUACUUUCGAUAUAAGUUUCAGCAUAUUAUAUAUGUUUUUGUAGUGUAAUGUUUUACUUCUCCAUUUGAAUCUCUUUUAAAGUUGUGAGGCCAUUUCAACUUGCAGGUUUUAGCUCAUUUAGAAACUGAUCUUCUCUCUGUCUCAUUUGGAAAUGAUUAUCAUCAAGAUGGCCACCUCUCACCGCGUGCGUCCGGCAGCAGCCAGUAUUUGUUCAGGCAUGUCACCUCCUGGAGCCCUGGACUCAACAUGGAUCGAUCUGGGCAGUAGUCUUUUUCAGAUCAGGUUCGGGAGCUUCUCCAAGACUUCCGAUUCCUAUAUACCAGAGUAGGAAGUAUGGUUUCUUUAUUAUGGACUGCUGCAACACAUAAUAAUGUUUUGUGGAGACUGCUGUUGUUACCUGUUAUGAAAUGGUUGUACAAAAAUCGUUUCACUCGCAGCAUACUUCUCUCUGAGGUGAUGUUCUAAGGCCAGGACGGAAUCGUCAGAGAAAUAGUUAGUGCUGGCUUUAAGAAAAUUAAAGAGAUGUUCUUCCGAAUUAA